rnacentral:tRNA from 1 species
GGGCGAAUGGUGAAAUUGGUAGACACGCAAGCUUGAGGGGCUUGUGGCCGCAAGGCUGUGGAGGUUCGAGUCCUCUUUCGCCCA